rnacentral:rRNA from 1 species
CCCUUUGAUGUUCUGGGCUGCACGCGCGCUACACGGAUGCGCUCAACGAGUUUACGACCUUGCCUGGAAAGGUUGGGUAAUCUUCUUAAAACGCAUCGUGAUGGGGAUAGAUUAUUGCAACUAUUAAGAUUCAACGAGGAGUUCCUAGUAAGCGCGAGUCAUCAGCUCGCGUUGAUUACGUCCCUGCCCUUUGUACACACCGCCCGUCGCUACUACCGAUUGAAUGGCUUAGUGAGGCUCCCGGACCGACCGCCAGUGGCUUUACGGCUGCCGAUGGUUGGAAAGUUAGACAAACUUGGUCAUUUAGAGGAAGUAAAAGUCGUAACA